GCAUAUGGAGCUUCCCAGGCUAAGGGUCGAAUCAGAGCUGUAGCCGCCAGCCUACACCAGAGCGACAGCAACUGGAGAUCCAAGCCACCUCUGUGGCCUACACCACAGCUCACGGCAAUGCUGGAUCCUUAACCCACUGAGCGAGACCAGGGGUCGAACCCACAACCUCAUGGUUCCUAGUCGGAUUCGUUAACCACUGAUAUUGUUUUAUAUUUAUAGUCUUAGAUCUCCAGUGCUUAACACAGUUCCUGACAUACCACAGAAAACUGACAUAUGCCUACUUAUCCAAUAAAAAUGGACUGUGGGAUCCACAUAAAAUAUAGGAAGUGAAAACAGAAUGCAACUCUGAAGGAAGAACAUAGGAAGUAAUACAGAAUGGCACCAAAAGAGAAAAGCAAUAGGAAGAAUAGGGAGAGAAAAAGACAUAUUAAUUAUUUUUAAAACUAUUUAUUUUUUCUCUAGUUUUAAGAAAAUAAGCUCAUUAGAUGUAUUUUCAAUUCAUUCAGAGUAGUGUCUUUCAAGCAUUUUUCCACAACUUGUUCUAGAAAUUAUAUUAUGCAUAAAAACUCAGUAUUCAGAUACACAGAGACACAUACAAAAAACUAGAAAAAACAUACAUAAAAUGUACAUCUAUUCUUACUUUAUGAUGAAUUUUAAGAUUUCACCAUUGUGUUCUAUCAUAUGCCUCGUUUGUAAAUUGAUUUCACAAGUCAUUAAGUGUUGUGAACUUAAUUCGAAAAUAGAGUGAAUGAGAAUCUGGAGGCACCUACUGAAGUCAACAUGGUGUGUAGAGCAUUUAUAAAUAACAAUUUGCAGCAGUAAUUAACCCUGCAGUGUUCCUCAUCAGUUAUCAGUGGUGAACCAACAGCUACAGAGGUGAAAUGACGAGUCCAAGGUCAUUAGGGGUUCAAGUUCCAGACUACCCUCCAAUCUCUGCCCCUAAGCAAAACCACAAGAUUAAUAUAAAGAGACGUCUUCACUCAUUUAAUGUUAUAUUUUGGGACAAUAAUUUAGGUAAAUGACUUGGAGUCACUAUGUCUUGUGUGAGUCCAAAAUAUUUUAGAGGGGGAAGAAAAUCUAUUUGAUUAAAGCCUGAUUUAUAAAAAUUAAAGAACUAUUUUUCUUUUUUUUUAAGGCUGUAAAAAUAAUUAUUGGCUUCUUUUUUAUGAUUCUUAUUUUUUCCAUUAUGGUUGAUUUACAAUGUUCUGUCAAUUUCUAAUAUACAGAAAAGUGACCUUGUCAUACAUAUACAUAUUCUUUUUCUGACAUUAUCCUUUAUCAUGUUCCAUCAUAACUGACUAGAUAUAGUUCCCUGUGCUAUACAGCAGGAUCUCAUUGCUUAUCCACUCCAAAUGUAAUAGUGCAUCUAUUAACCCCAGAUUCCCAGUCCAUUCCACUCCCUCCUGCUCCACCUUGGAAACCACAAGUCUGUUUUACAAGUUCAUGAGUUUCUUUUCUGUGGAAGGUUCAUUUAUACUGUGUAUUAGAUUCCAGAUAUAAGUGAUAACAUAUGGUAUUUGUCUUUCUCUUUCUGACUUACUUCACUUAAAAUGAGAGUUUCUAGUUCUGUUCAUGUUGCUGCAAAUGGCAUUAUUUUGUCCUUUUUUAUGGCUGAGUAAUAUUCCAUUAUGUAUACAUAUACUACAUCUUAAUUCAUUCCUCUGUCAAUGGACAUUUAGGUUGUUUCCACAUCUUGGGUAUUGUGAAUAGAGCUGCAAUGAACAUACAGGUUCAUAUAUCUUUUUCAGGGAAAGUUUUGUCCAGAUAUAUGCCCAAGAGUGGGAGUACUGGGUCAUAUGGUAGUUCUAUAUUUAGUUUUCUGAGGAACCUCCAUACUGUUUUCCAUAGUGGUUGUACCAAUUUACAUUCCCACCAACAGUGUAGGAGUGUUCCCUUUUCUCUACACCCUCCCCAGCAUUUGCUAUUUGUGGACUUGUUAUUGAUGGCCAUCCUGACUAGGAUGCAUUUCUCUGAUAAUUACUGAAGAUGAGCAUUUUUUGUGUGUGCUUGUUAGCCAUCUGUAAAUCUUCUUUGGAGAAAUGUCUAUUCAGAACUUUUGUCCAUUUUUCAAUUGUGUUGUGGGGUUUUUUUUUUUUUUUUGCUGUUGAGUUGUGUAAGUUGUAUGUUUUGGAGAUGAAGCAAUUCUUAGUGGCAUCAUUUGAAAUUAUUUUCUCUCCCAUUCCGUAUGCUGACUUUGUGUGUGUGUGUGUGGUUUUCUUUGCUGUGCAAAAGCUUGUCAGUUUGAUUAGGUCCCGUUGAUUUAUUUUUUGCUUUUAUUUCUGUUGCCAUGGAAGACUGACCUAAGAAAACAUUUGUAGGUUUAUGUCAGAGAAUGUUUUGCCUGUGUUCUCUCCUGGUGUCUUAUCUUUCAUUUUAGUCUUUAAGCCAUUUUGAGUUUGUUUUUGCGCAUGGCAUGAGGGUAUAUUCCAGUUUAAUUGAUUUACAUGUGGCUGUCCAGGUUUCCCAGCAACAUUUGCUGAAAAGACUGCCUUUUUCUCAUUUUAUAUUCUUGCCUCCUUUGUUGAAGAUUAAUUGACCAUAGGAAUCUGGGUUUAUUUCUGGGUUCUCUAAUCUGUUCCAAUGGUCUGUAUGUCAGUUUGGGUACCAGUACCACACUGUCUUGUUUACUGUAGCUUUGUAAUUUUGCCAGAAGUCUGAGAGAGUUAUGCCUCCUGCUUGGUUUUUGUUCCUCAGGACUGCUUUGAGGAUUCUUGGUCUUUUAUGGUUCCACAUAAAUGUUUGGAUUGUUUGUUGUAGUUUUCUGAAAAAUGUCAUGGGUAAUUUGAUAGGGAUUGCAUUGAACCUGUGGAUUUCUUUGGGUAGUAUGGCCACUUGUACUAUAUUAAUUCUUCCAACCCAGGAGAAUGUAAUAUCUUUUGAUUUCUUUGAAUCCUCUUUAAUUUCCUUGAUUAAUAUUUUAUAGUUCUCAGCAUGUAAGUCUCUCACCUCCUUGGUCAGGUUUAUUCCUAGGUGUUUAAUUUUUGAGGGUGUGAUUUUAAAAGCUAUUUUAUUUUUGUAUUCCUUUCCUAAUAUUUCAUUGUUGGUAUACAGAAAUGCAACCGACUUCUGAAUGUUAAUCUUGUCUCCUGCUACUUUGCUGAAUUUGUUGAUCAGUUCAAGCAGUUUUUGUGUGGAGUCCUUAGUGUUUUCUCUAUAAAGUAUCAUGUGAUCUGCAUAGAGUGACAAUUUUACCUCUUCUCUUCCAAUUUGGAUAUCUUUUAUUUCUUUUAUUUGUCUUAUUGCUGUGGCUAGGAAUUCCAAUACUAGUUUGAAUAAAAGUGGUGAGAGUGGGCACCCUUGGCUUGUUCCAGAUUUUAGUGGGAAGGCUUUCAGCUUUUCAUUAUUGAGGAUUAUAUUUGCUGUGGGUUUGUCAUAAAUGGCUUUUAUUAUGUGAAGUUAUGUUCCCUCUAUACCCAUUUUGGUAAGAGUUUUUAAUCAUGAAUGGAUAUUGGACUUUAUCAAAUGCUUUUUCUGCAUCUAUUGAGAUGAUCAUGUGGUUUUUUACUUUUCUAUUUGGUGUAUGACGUGGAUUGAUUUGCAUAUGUUGAACCAUCCUUGUGAACCUGGGAUGAAUCCCACUUGGUCCUGGUAUACAAUCUUUUUUAUAUGUUGGAUUCAGUUGGCUAAAAUUUUCUGAGAAUUUUUAUGUCUAUAUUCAUCAAAGAUAUCGGUCUAUAAUUUUCUUUUUUGGUGGUAUCUUUUUCUGGUUUUGGUAUUAGGGUGAUGGUGGCUUCAUAGAAUGUCUUUGGGAGUAUUCCUUCUUCUUCAGCCUUUUGGAAAAGUUUAAGAAGAAUGGGUAUAAGUUCUUUGUAUGUUUGGUAGAAUUUGCCUGUGAAGCCAUCUGGUCCUGGACUUUUGUUUGGAGGGAGUGUUUUAUUAUGCAUUCAAUUUCAUUUCUAGUGAUUGGUCUGUUCAGUUGAUCUGUUUCUUCAUGGUUCAGUUUUGGUGGGCUGUAAGACUCUAGAAAGUUGUGCAUUUCCUCUAGGUUGUCAAAUUGGUUGGCAUAUAAUUGUUCAUAACAUUUGCUUAUGGUUUUUUUGUAUUUCUGAGGUAUCUAUUGAGAUUUCUCCUUUUUCAUUCCUUAUUUUGUUUAUUUGGAUUUUUUCUCUUCUCUUCUUGGUGAGUCUGGCUAGAGGUUUGUCAAUUUUGUUUACCUUUCAAAAAACAAGCUCUUGGUUUUAUUGAUUUUUUUCUAUUGUUUUUUGAAUCUCUAUUUUAUGGAUUUCCUCUCUGAUCUUUAUGAUUUCCUUCCCUCUGCUGACUUUGGGUUUUAUUUGUUCUUCUUUUUCUAAUUCAUUUAGGUGUGAGUUAAGUUGUCAAUUUGAGAUUUUUCUUCUUUUUUGAGGAAGGCCUGUAUCACUAUGAACUUCCCUCUAAGCACUGCUUUUGCAGCACCCCAUAGAUUUUGAAUAGUGGUAUCUUCAUUAUCAUUUGUAUCAAGAUAUUUUUUAUUUUCCUUUUUGAUUUCCUCAUUGGUUUUUUAGUAGCAUGUUGUUUAGUCCCCAUGUAGCAGGUUUUUUUCUCAUUUCUUUUCCUGUGGUUGAUUUCUAGUUUCAUGCCAUUCUGGUCAGAGAAGAUACUUGAAAUAAUUUCUAUACUUUUAAAUUGGUUGAGGUAACUUUUGUGCACCAGUAUGUGGUCAAUCCUUGAGAAUGUUCCAUGUGGACUUGAAAAGAAUGUAUACUCUGAUUUUUCUUUUUAGGUGUCAGAUCCUAAAAGUGUCAAUGAGGUCUAAAUUUUCUAUUGUGUCAUUUAGGAUCUCUUUUGCCUUACUGACUUGCUGUCUAGAGGAUCUGUCCAUUGAUGUGAUUGGGGUGUUAAAGUCUCCUACUGUUUUGUAUUCCCAUCAAUUUCUCCUUUUAUGUCUGUUAGCAUUUGUUGUAUGUAUCUAGGUGCUCCUAUAUAAGGGGCAUAUAUAUUGAUGAUUUUAAUAUCCUCUUCUUUAAUGGAUCCUUUUAUCAUUAAAUAGUGUCCUUCCUUUUCUUUCUUUAUGGCCUUUGUUUUUAAGUCUAUUUUUUCUGAUAUAAGCAUUGCAACUCCUACUUUCCUGUCCUGUGUGUUGGCAUGAAAUAUCUUUUCCCAUCCGCUCACUUUCAAUAUAUGUAUCCUUUGCCCUAAGGUGAGUCUCUUGUAGACAGCAUAGUUUAGGCUCUUGCUUUUUUAUCCAGUCUUCCACUCCAUGGCUUUUGAUUAGAGCAUUCAGUCCUUUGAUAUUUGAGGUAAUUAUUGAUAAACAUGCAUUUAUUGCCAUUUUAAACCUGUUUCCAUUUUAUUCUGUUUCUCGUGUGUUCCUUUCUUUCUUUGGUUGGAUGGUUUCCUUUUAUCUUAUGCUUCUAUACUUUUCUUUUUAGUUUUUGUGAAUGUAAUGUUCAUUUUUGAUUUGUGGUUGCCCUGUUUUUCAAGUAUGUUAACCCUAU
rnacentral:lncRNA from 9 species